GAGGAAUAUUGGGCAAUGCCCGCAAGGGUGACCCAGCAACGCCGCGUGGAGGAUGAAUGUCGUAAGAUUGUAAACUCCUGUUAGAGGGGAAGAAUAGUACCGGUUGGACCGGUAUAUGACUGUACCCUCAGAGAAAGCCCCGGCUAACUACGUGCCAGCAGCCGCGGUAAUACGUAGGGGGCAAGCGUUGUCCGGAUUUACUGGGUGUAAAGGGCGCGCAGGCGGGAUAAAAAGUCAGUGGUGAAAUCCUACAGCUUAACUGUAGAACUGCCUUCGAUACUGUUAUUCUUGAGUUCGGGAGAGAGAGACGGAAUUCCAGGUGUAGUGGUGAAAUACGUAGAUAUCUGGAAGAACACCAGUUGCGAAGGCGGUCUCUUGGUCCGACACUGACGCUGAGGCGCGAAAGCGUGGGGAGCAAACA
rnacentral:rRNA from 1 species